AGGUCUCUAGACGUUACAGAGAACCCCGUACAACCCAAACUGUUAACCUUCAAUACUGCUUUGUACUUACGAUCUUGUAUCCACUGACUGUCCUGUUAGAUUAACCCAAUAAAUUUCAUUCACUCCGCAUACUCAAUCCUAUAGAUACCCUUUUAAUCCUUCAAUCACAGACGUAACUCGAUUUUACAAAACAGUCAAGAGUAUUCAAACCCACUUCAUUUAAAAAUCCCGAUUCACCAUUACAACACUGACUUCAGCAGCGAUUGCCUCAGUCUUCCCAAAACUCUACGAAGA
rnacentral:lncRNA from 1 species